rnacentral:lncRNA from 1 species
UCUCACCAGGCUGCGCGCUGGCGGGUCGGUGCACAGGGACGGGGUCGCCGCCCACGCGCGCUUGGUUCAGGGAGCCCAGGCUGUCCCUACCCGCGGCUACAAAAGCUCGCCGAGUCUUCCUGUCCACCCAAUCGCCCCACAUGUCAGCGGUUGGUCGCCUCGCGGUGCAGUGCUGGGCACGCGAGCCCCUCCCGCAGUCAUUCUCAGCACAAGCACCAGCCUGGAGCCCCGCAGCGACAGAGCUGAGAGCCCCCAAGCCGCAGAGGUCGUGCGGAGCAGGUUGGUCUAAUUGAAGGCAAUGGAGAAGUAAGUCUUUAUGGAUCAAAAUCUUAGCUCUAGAAAAGGCCUAAGGCAAUAGCUAAUUGAGACUAUGCAUCACUAUUAAGGCAUCUUCACUAAAGGGCGCUGUGGAAACGCUGCCUGAGAUGCAGACACCUGUCAGAAGGGGGCUAAAUUUCAAACAAGGAACGUGGUGUUGCAUCACAAUAAAGUAGAUUCUAGUAUUACCUUCCUUUUUCAGAAGAGGAGACCAAUGGGGAGCAUUGGAAUGAUUUGGUUGCAAGCAUACUACACUACUUGUAAACUGCAGACACAGGCUUAAAAAAAGUGAAAAACUAACCAUGCAAUAAAGAAUGGAAUGAACCAUGAAGCUGUUUCUGUGGCCAGUCAUGUUUUUGAAGCAUAUCCCAUGCUAAUUUCUAGAACAGAAGAAACACACGUGUUCUUGUGUGUAAACCCAGUCCAUGGAAGAGACCGUCUGCUUGUCCCUCCUGAUCUCUGGGCCCAGACAACCAGUAGUCACCAUUCCAAGUGAGGGGUGGCUGCAACUCUACAGCCCCGUUCGUCUCUCCUCACUGUCAAAGCUGCUGAGACCCCAGACUCGACACUUGAAAGAAACCCAUGUCUGUGAAGCACUUGUGGACCAUUCAAGAUUGUGGAAGAAUCACUCAAGAGAAGGAGAUAGCAAUAUUUGCAGAUAUGCAAACUGGCCCCUUGCAUGCACAUCCUGGAGCACGUCCUGGAGCCUUUAGAGGAGACGGCUGCUGCUGUUCCAGUCUCUCCUUAGGCAGACUUGAGUUUCUACCCACUCUUCCCAAGCAGCCGCCCCUCCGCACCCGAGCGAGCCAAAGACCUGGCGGGCUGAGUACUCACUGCGCGCUGGACACAUGCUGAGCCGGCACUGCAGGGACACAGGGCGAGCCGCUGGAUGCAGACCUGUGGCCGCGGCAGUUGGGCUUAUCUUGCCCAUGAAGUUGCCUCUGAAGAACCAAGUCCAACUGUGUAUGCUGAGAGAUGUCUGGCUACUUCCUGAUUGACAGUUCUGGCAAGGUGGCAUUGGGCCCUGGCUUUUCCUCUGGAGGCAUCAUCACUUAUAGGAAAAUGUCCCCUGAAGUCCAAGGAUCAAAGCUGCUGGAACACUGAGAAGCUGAACAAAGGAGAACUGUUUCUCAUCAAACCCAGACUUCCAGACUUCCAAUAGGGUAGAAUGAGCAAGUCAGCAAAUCAUCUUCCUUGGAAACAGUGAUAAAACUAGAUGACAUUGUCAACAACAGCCAUUUCAGAAAUCUAGAAAAUGACCAAAGGCAAACAACAAACUGAGAAGCAUUUUUUUUUCCAUGAAAAAUCGCUCUAUUUCUGCAAAAAUAGUGGGAGUCUAUGGCUUCUCAUCCAGGGCUGUUUCUCUCCCCACCCCAGCUCAGUCAGUACAAAGGUUCUGGCAGCAUGAGGCAGACUGAACAGACCUGAAGUUUGAUUGCUGGAAGAAACUGACUCCAGGUUUGGCAGAGGGUGAGAAACCUACUCCCAGCCAUGUUGUCUGGUGACACAGUGACCUUAGGGACAAGUGAAUAGGGAAGGCCAGUGAUUCAUUAACCUGAGGUUGCAGUCCUGGUUGGGGAAAGCAUCAGAAUGGCAGAUAAGCUAGAAAUUUAGUAGGGAUAUGCUGGAAAUGAGACAACCCCAAAGGGGCUUGACCCCAAAGUUGUCCACACACCCCAGCUGCCUUCUGAGCAGAUGUAGGGAGAGACCAGAGAAGGCCUAGGCUAUCCACACAUCUCUGGCUAACCCAGGCUGUAAACCUGUGGAGGAGACACAAGAGGUGGAUUGAUUGCUAAUGGGCAUAUGGGGGAUCUUACUGGUUGAUAGGAACAUUCUCAAAUUGGAUUGUGGUGAUGCUUGCACAACUCUAAGUUUAUCCCAAAUUGCUAAAUUUUACACUAAAAAGGGGUGAACUUUAGGGUAUAUAAAUUAUACAUCAAUAAAGUUGUCAUAAAGCAUUCACAUUCUAAUAAAUGGCUCUAAGAAAUAUUGUUUUGAAAAUUUUCCUUUGGUAUAUUAUGGCACUCCAAAAUCAACUUCUGUCAGAACAAUAAUUAACUAUUUCUGAUUAUAGAUAUUGGUCAUCUACAAUGAUUUAUUCAGUCUUUUAUGUCCCGCAUAAGGGCUUAGAAUGCUUUAAAUUUCUAAGACCAUCAAUAGCCAGGACUCACCUGAAAACUAUAUAUAUUUUUAAAAAGACGUAUGCUCUGGGACACCAUAUGCUAACAUUUGUUGAGCACACAGUUUGCUACAGAGGUUAAGAGGUGUACUAUUUAAAUCUAACUUCCUCAAGGGGCUCACACUAUUACAAUAGUAAGCUAAAGAGAUAGAAGAAAAGUUUAUAUAUAAAAUCUCAGUACAGGGAUGGGGUUGGUAACAAAUAAGAUGCUGCCACUUACACUUGAUAAAUUAUAAAAUAUCUAUUGCAUUCAUUAUUGGAGGCUGACCCUUAUAAAAACCUUGUGGGUACUGCAAAAGACAGGGAAACCGAGGCUCAGAGUGGUUCAGCAACUUGUGUGAGGUCACAUACCUCAUGUCAAAGCUGAGAUUUAAAUGUGUGUGGCUAGGCUGGACAUGGUGGCUCACACCUGUAAUCCUAGCACCCUGGGAGGCUGAGGUGGAACACACUCCUUGUUUGUGUCCAGGAGUUCAAGACCAGCCUGGACAACAUAAUGAGACCUCAUCUCUACAAAAAAUAAAAAAUUAGCUGGGUGUGGGGCCACGCACCCCAAGGUUCUCAGGAGGCUGAGGCAGGAGGACUGCUUGAAAUCAGGAGGUUGAGCCUGCAGUGAGCUGUGAUCAUGCCACUGCACUCUGCCUGGGUGACAGAGUGAGACCCUGUCUCAAAAAAAUAAAAAUAAAAACAAAUAAAUGUGUGUGGCUGAUUCUCAUGCAAAUAUUGGUGAAGAUCUGGUAGUGAUGUAAAUUGGUAGAACCUCAGUGGGAGAUAACUUUGCAAUAGCUAUCAAAUGAAAACUGUGUAUAUUCUUUGUUUCAGGAAUUUCACUUCUAAGAUGUUUUUAAUAUAGCAGAAAUGGUUAUCCAUAAAGAAUUAGUUCAAUACAUUUUAUCUGUAAAAUGGAAUGCAAUGCGGCCAUUAAAAAGGAGGCAUAUCUGAGUAUACUAAUAUAGAAUGGUCUGCAAGAUAUAUUAACUUUUUUACAAAAGCUGUUCCCCACACUUCUUCGUGUUGUUUGAAAAGACGUGAAGGCUCAGACAGGCCUUCAUUGUGACUUGCCCAGGAUGAGUAGCAGGGCUGGAAUUCCUACUCAGGAGUCCAGAUUUAUAGGCUUCCUCUUUGCUUUAUCCUAUUUCAUAGCUGUCUCUGUUGCCAGAGCCAUGGAAGG